AUGCAAGUCGAGCGGAUGAGAGGAGCUUGCUCCUGGAUUCAGCGGCGGACGGGUGAGUAAUGCCUAGGAAUCUGCCUGGUAGUGGGGGACAACGUUUCGAAAGGAACGCUAAUACCGCAUACGUCCUACGGGAGAAAGCAGGGGACCUUCGGGCCUUGCGCUAUCAGAUGAGCCUAGGUCGGAUUAGCUAGUUGGUGAGGUAAUGGCUCACCAAGGCGACGAUCCGUAACUGGUCUGAGAGGAUGAUCAGUCACACUGGAACUGAGACACGGUCCAGACUCCUACGGGAGGCAGCAGUGGGGAAUAUUGGACAAUGGGCGAAAGCCUGAUCCAGCCAUGCCGCGUGUGUGAAGAAGGUCUUCGGAUUGUAAAGCACUUUAAGUUGGGAGGAAGGGUUGUAGAUUAAUACUCUGCGAUUUUGACGUUACCGACAGAAUAAGCACCGGCUAACUCUGUGCCAGCAGCCGCGGUAAUACAGAGGGUGCAAGCGUUAAUCGGAAUUACUGGGCGUAAAGCGCGCGUAGGUGGUUUGUUAAGUUGGAUGUGAAAUCCCCGGGCUCAACCUGGGAACUGCAUCCAAAACUGGCAAGCUAGAGUAUGGUAGAGGGUGGUGGAAUUUCCUGUGUGGCGGUGAAAUGCGUAGAUAUAGGAAGGAACACCAGUGGCGAAGGCGACCACCU
rnacentral:rRNA from 1 species